AUGAACGCUGGCGGCGUGCCUCAUACAUGCCAGUCGCGCGAACAGACGAGGAGCUUGCUCCUCUGACGUUAGCGGCGGACGGGUGAGUAACACGUGGAUAACCUACCUAUAAGACUGGGAUAACUUCGGGAAACCGGAGCUAAUACCGGAUAAUAUAUUGAACCGCAUGGUUCCAUAGUGAAAGACGGUUUUGCUGUCACUUAUAGAUGGAUCCGCGCCGCAUUAGCUAGUUGGUAAGGUAACGGCUUACCAAGGCAACGAUGCGUAGCCGACCUGAGAGGGUGAUCGGCCACACUGGAACUGAGACACGGUCCAGACUCCUACGGGAGGCAGCAGUAGGGAAUCUUCCGCAAUGGGCGAAAGCCUGACGGAGCAACGCCGCGUGAGUGAUGAAGGUCUUCGGAUCGUAAAACUCUGUUAUUAGGGAAGAACAAAUGUGUAAGUAACUAUGCACGUCUUGACGGUACCUAAUCAGAAAGCCACGGCUAACUACGUG
rnacentral:rRNA from 1 species